AGAGUUUGAUCCUGGCUCAGAACGAACGCUGGCGGCAGGCCUAACACAUGCAAGUCGAGCGAGGUAGCAAUACCUAGCGGCGGACGGGUGAGUAACGCGUGGGAACGUGCCCCUUGGUACGGAAUAGCCCCGGGAAACUGGGAGUAAUACCGUAUGAGCUCUACGGAGGAAAGAUUUAUCGCCAAGGGAUCGGCCCGCGUUGGAUUAGGUAGUUGGUGGGGUAAUGGCCUACCAAGCCGACGAUCCAUAGCUGGUUUGAGAGGAUGAUCAGCCACACUGGGACUGAGACACGGCCCAGACUCCUACGGGAGGCAGCAGUGGGGAAUCUUAGACAAUGGGGGAAACCCUGAUCUAGCCAUGCCGCGUGAUCGAUGAAGGCCUUAGGGUUGUAAAGAUCUUUCAGUGGGGAAGAUAAUGACUGUACCCACAGAAGAAGCCCCGGCUAACUCCGUGCCAGCAGCCGCGGUAAUACGGAGGGGGCUAGCGUUGUUCGGAAUUACUGGGCGUAAAGCGCACGUAGGCGGAUCAGAAAGUCAGAGGUGAAAUCCCAGGG
rnacentral:rRNA from 1 species